rnacentral:misc_RNA from 1 species
GAUGAAGAACGUAGCGAAAUGCGAUACGUAAUGUGAAUUGCAGAAUUCAGUGAAUCAUCGAGUCUUUGAACGCACAUUGCGCCCCCUGGUAUUCCGGGGGGCAUGCCUGUCCGAGCGUCAUUGCUGCCCUCAAGCACGGCUUGUGUGUUGGGCCUCCGUCCUCCUCCCGGGGGACGGGCCCGAAAGGCAGCGGCGGCACCGCGUCCGGUCCUCGAGCGUAUGGGGCUUCGUCACCCGCUCUUGUAGGCCCNGCCGGCGCUUGCCGACACAUCAAUCUUUUUUCCAGGUUGACCUCGGAUCAGGUAGGGAUACCCGCUGAACUUAAGCAUAUCAAUAAGCGGACGA